GGGUCCUCUCCGAAAUAGCUUUAGGGCUAGCCUCGGAAGAAAGCGUGUUGGAGGUAGAGCACUGUUUUGGUGCGGGGCCAUCUCGGGUUACUAAACUAAGAUAAACUCCGAAUGCCAAUCACGUAUGUCCGGGAGUCAGACAGUGAGUGAUAAGAUCCAUUGUCGAAAGGGGAACAGCCCAGAUCGUCAGUUAAGGUCCCUAAGUGUGUGUUAAGUGGAAAAGGAUGUGAAGUUGCAUAGACAACUAGGAUGUUGGCUCAGAAGCAGCCACCAUUUAAAGAGUGCGUAAUAGCUCACUAGUCGAGUGAUUUUGCGCCGAAAAUGUACCGGGGCUAAACACACCACCGAAACUACGGGUGCCACGUAAGUGGCGCGAUAGGAGAGCGUUCUAAGGGCGAUGAAGUCAGACCGUGAGGACUGGUGGAGCGCUUAGAAGUGAGAAUGCCGGUAUGAGUAGCGAAAGACAGGUGAGAAUCCUGUCCACCGUAUGACUAAGGUUUCCUGGGGAAGGCUCGUCCUCCCAGGGUUAGUCGGGACCUAAGGCGAGGCCGAAAGGCGUAGUCGAUGGCUAACAGGUUGAGAUUCCUGUACCAGGUGAACAUGUUUGAACGAUGGAGGGACGCAGAAGGCUAACGGAUCCCAGCUGCUGGAAAUGCUGGGUCAAGCAAUGAGUCUUAGUGUGAGUUAAAUGCUUGCACUUAUACGGACAAGUUGUGAUGAGGACCGAAAUAAAGUAGGGAAGUCCGUGAUGUCACGCUGCCGAGAAAAGCUUCUAGUUAGUGUUUACCUGCCCGUACCGCAAACCGACACAGGUAGUCGAGGAGAGCAUCCUAAGGUGAGCGAGUGAACUCUCGUUAAGGAACUCGGCAAAAUGACCCCGUAACUUCGGGAGAAGGGGUGCUCAGCGCAAGCUGAGCCGCAGUGAAUAGGCCCAGGCGACUGUUUAUCAAAAACACAGGUUUCUGCAAAAUCGUAAGAUGAAGUAUAGGGGCUGACGCCUGCCCGGUGCUGGAAGGUUAAAAGGAGUGCUUAGCUUCGGCGAAGGUACGAAUUGAAGCCCCAGUAAACGGCGGCCGUAACUAUAACGGUCCUAAGGUAGCGAAAUUCCUUGUCGGGUAAGUUCCGACCCGCACGAAAGGUGUAACGAUCUGGGCGCUGUCUCAACGAGAGACUCGGUGAAAUUUAAAGACCCGUGAAGAUGCGGGUUACCCGCGACAGGACGGAAAGACCCCAUGGAGCUUUACUGUAGCUUGAUAUUGAGUGUUUGUGCAGCUUGUACAGCAUAGGUAGGAGCCGUAGAAAUCGGGACGCUAGUUUCGAUGGAGGCAAACGUGGGAUACUACCCUCGUUGUAUGAACACUCUAACUCACACCACUAAGCGUGGUGGAAGACAGUGUCUGGCAGGCAGUUUGACUGGGGCGGUCGCCUCCCAAAAAGUAACGGAGGCGCCCAAAGGUUCCCUCAGAAUGGUUGGAAAUCAUUCGCAGAGUGUAAAGGCACAAGGGAGCUUGACUGUGAGACUUACCAGUCGAGCAGGUACGAAAGUAGGGCUUAGUGAUCCGGUGGUUCCGCAUGGAAGGACCAUCGCUCAACGGACAAAAGCUACCCUGGGGAUAACAGGCUUAUCUCCCCCAAGAGUCCACAUCGACGGGGAGGUUUGGCACCUCGAUGUCGGCUCAUCGCAUCCUGGGGCUGUAGUCGGUCCCAAGGGUUGGGC
rnacentral:rRNA from 1 species